GACGAACGCUGGCGGCGUGCCUAAUACAUGCAAGUCGAACGCAGGGGGGACGGGUGAGUAACACGUGGGUUACCUCCCAUAAGAGGGGAUAACACUUGGAAACAGGUGCUAAACCGAUACUGAUGGAUGAACCCGCGGUGCAUUAGCUAGUUGGUGAGGUAACGGCACACCAAGGCCACGAUGCAUAGCCGACCUGAGAGGGUGAGCGGCCACACUGGGACUGAGACACGGCCCAGAGUCCUACGGGAGGCAGCAGUAGGGAAUCUUCGGCAAUGGACGAAAGUCUGACCGAGCAACGCCGCGUGAGUGAAGAAGGUUUUCGGGUCGUAAAACUCUUUUGUUGGGGAAGCGGUAUCUACCCAGAAAGCCACGGCUAACUACGUGCCAGCAGCCGCGGUAAUUC
rnacentral:rRNA from 1 species